AUACGUAGGGGGCGAGCGUUGUCCGGAAUGAUUGGGCGUAAAGGGCGCGUAGGCGGCCCGGUACGUCUGGAGUGAAAGUCCUGUUUUUAAGAUGGGAAUUGCUUUGGAUGCUGUCGGGCUUGAGUGCAGGAGAGGUAAGUGGAAUUCCCAGUGUAGCGGUGAAAUGCGUCGAGAUUGGGAGGAACACCAGUGGCGAAGGCGACUUACUGGACUGUAACUGACGCUGAGGCGCGAAAGUGUGGGGAGCAAACAGGAUUAGAUACCCUGGUAGUCCACACUGUAAACGAUGAAUGCUAGGUGUAGGGGGUAUCGACCCCUUCUGUGCCGCAGUCAACACAAUAAGCAUUCCGCCUGGGGAGUACGGCCGCAAGGUUGAAACUCAAAGGAAUUGACGGGG
rnacentral:rRNA from 1 species